UACGGGGGGGGCAAGCGUUGUUCGGAAUUACUGGGCGUAAAGGGCGCGUAGGCGGUUGGAUAAGUCAGCUGUGAAAACCACGGGCUUAACUCGUGGCCUGCAGUUGAGACUGUCUGGCUUGAGUGUGGGAGAGGAGAGUGGAAUUCCUGGUGUAGCGGUGAAAUGCGUAGAUAUCGGGAGGAAUACCGAUGGCGAAGGCAGGUCUCUGGGCUGACACUGACGCUCAUGCACGAAAGCGUGGGGAGCAAACAGG
rnacentral:rRNA from 1 species